CCCGUAAUAGGGUUGGGCAAAUUUCACACAGUGUGGUUCUGGGAACUUUCAAUAUUGGGGACCAAGGUGAAGGCAUUGUACCUGACCUUACGCUGAUUAUUGGAGCAGUUCUGAAUUCUGUUGGAGUUGGAAAUGUGGCUACUAGUGGCGGGGCGAGAAAUACACCUACAGCUGCCAAUGUGGCUGGCCCACCAUCCCAAGGUGUUGAUUUGCAUCUUGCUCUAGUGGCUUUCCUUUAAAGCUCUCAUCUUGUGUACAACUAAAAUAUUGGAGAGUCAUUAUCAUAAAGUUGCAUUUAUAAGCCUAGUCCAUUCAUUCUUCUUCAGAGCCAUAGGCAAUGCGUUGAUGUAAUUUGGGCACGACAAGGCAUUUUCUUUCCAUGGAAAUUACUUUUUGACUUUUAUGAUGCACAAUUUUACACACUCUGAAUCU